rnacentral:misc_RNA from 1 species
GAUGAAGAACGCAGCGAAAUGCGAUAAGUAAUGUGAAUUGCAGAAUUCAGUGAAUCAUCGAAUCUUUGAACGCACAUUGCGCCCCCUGGUAUUCCGGGGGGCAUGCCUGUCCGAGCGUCAUUACAACCCUCAAGCUCAGCUUGGUGUUGGGCCCCGCCGCCCCGGCGGGCCCAAAAGUCAGUGGCGGUGCCGUCCGGCUCCGAGCGUAGUAAUUCUUCUCGCUCUGGAGGUCCGGUCGUGUGCUCGCCAGCAACCCCCAAUUUUUUUCAGGUUGACCUCGGAUCAGGUAGGGAUACCCGCUGAACUUAAGCAUAUCAAUAAGCGGAGGA